AUUGAACGCUGGCGGCACGCCUAACACAUGCAAGUCGAGCGGCAGCGCGAUAUGUAGCAAUACAUAUUGGCGGCGAGCGGCGGACGGGUGAGGAACACGUAGGAACCUACCCUCGAGUGGGGGAUAACCAAGGGAAACUUUGGCUAAUACCGCACGAUUUCGAGAGAACAAAGCUGCCGCAAGGUGGCGCUCGAGGAGGGGCCUGCGUCCGAUUAGCUAGUUGGUGAGGUAAGAGCUCACCAAGGCGAUGAUCGGUAACUGGUCUGAGAGGACGACCAGUCACACUGGGACUGAGACACGGCCCAGACUCCUACGGGAGGCAGCAGUGGGGAAUAUUGGACAAUGGGGGCAACCCUGAUCCAGCGAUGCCGCGUGAGUGAAGAAGGCCUUCGGGUCGUAAAGCUCUUUAGGUUGGGAAGAAGAGUGAUGGAGGAAAUGCUAUCACUUUGACGGUACCGACAGAAUAAGCACCGGCAAACUCUGUGCCAGCAGCCGCCGUAAUAC
rnacentral:rRNA from 1 species